rnacentral:rRNA from 1 species
GUCGAGAAUCUUUCGCAAUGCCCGAAAGGGUGACGAAGCGACGCCGCGUGCGGGAAGAAGGCCUUCGGGUUGUAAACCGCUGUCGGGAGUUAGGAAAUGCAAGGAUGUUAAUAGCAUCUUUGCUUGACUAAGGCUCCGGAGGAAGCCACGGCUAACUCUGUGCCAGCAGCCGCGGUAAUACAGAGGCGGCAAGCGUUGUUCGGAAUUAUUGGGCGUAAAGAGCACGUAGGCGGCCGUGUAAGUCGGUUGUGAAAGCCUUCCGCUCAACGGGAGAACGGCAUCCGAUACUGCAUGGCUCGAGUGCGGGAGGGGAGAGUGGAACUUCUGGUGGAGCGGUGAAAUGCGUAGAUAUCAGAAGGAACACCGGCGGCGAAGGCGACUCUCUGGCCCGUAACUGACGCUGAGUGUGCGAAAGCUAGGGGAGCAAACGGGAUUAGAUACCCUAGUAGUCC